rnacentral:rRNA from 1 species
CAGUAGCCGCGGUAAUACGUAGGGUGCAAGCGUUAAUCGGAAUUACUGGGCGUAAAGCGUGCGCAGGCGGUGUUGUAAGACUGAUGUGAAAUCCCCGGGCUCAACCUGGGAACUGCAUUGGUGACUGCAACGCCGGAGUGCGGCAGAGGGGGAUGGAAUUCCGCGUGUAGCAGUGAAAUGCGUAGAUAUGCGGAGGAACACCGGUGGCGAAGGCAAUCCCCUGGGCCUGCACUGACGCUCAUGCACGAAAGCGUGGGGAGCAAACAGGAUUAGAUACCCCCGUAGUCCCUGUCUCUUAUAC